GAUGAACGCUGGCGGCGUGCCUAAUACAUGCAAGUCGAGCGAACGGACGAGAAGCUUGCUUCUCUGAUGUUAGCGGCGGACGGGUGAGUAACACGUGGAUAACCUACCUAUAAGACUGGGAUAACUUCGGGAAACCGUAGCUAAUACCGGAUAAUAUUUUGAACCGGAUGGUUCAAAAGUGAAAGACGGUCUUGCUGUCACUUAUAGAUGGAUCCGCGCUGCAUUAGCUAGUUGGUAAGGUAACGGCUUACCAAGGCAACGAUGCAUAGCCGACCUGAGAGGGUGAUCGGCCACACUGGAACUGAGACACGGUCCAGACUCCUACGGGAGGCAGCAGUAGGGAAUCUUCCGCAAUGGGCGAAAGCCUGACGGAGCAACGCCGCGUGAGUGAUGAAGGUCUUCGGAUCGUAAAACUCUGUUAUUAGGGAAGAACAUAUGUGUAAGUAACUGUGCACAUCUUGACGGUACCUAAUCAGAAAGCCACGGCUAACUACGUG
rnacentral:rRNA from 1 species